rnacentral:rRNA from 1 species
GGUAAUUCCAGCUCUGUAAGCGUAUAUCAAAGUUGUUGCAGUUAAAACGCUCGUAGUCGGAUUUUGGUAGUUCCGGGAGUGUGCGCGUCGUGCGCGCGCUCUGCAGGGGCUGCUUUUGUGGAUCUGCGUAGGAUGAGGCAACUUUAUUGUUGAACGUCUUUUGCAACCACCUUUUACUGUGAAAAAAUUAAAGUGUUCAAAGCAGGCAUUUGUCGUGAAUACAUUAGCAUGGAAUAAUGGAAUAGGACUUGGUUUUAUUUUGUUGGUUUGUUAUGGCCGAGUAAUGAUUAAAAGGGACAGUUGGGGGCAUUUGUAUUUCGGGGCCAGAGGUGAAAUUCUUAGAUCCCCGAAAGACAAACCGCUGCGAAAGCGUCUGCCAAGGAUGUUUUCAUUGAUCAAGAACGAAAGUAAGGGGAUCGAAGACGAUCAGAUACCGUCGUAGUCUUUACUAUAAACGAUGAGGACUGGGGAUCGGGCGAGGAAUUGCGAUGACCCGCCCGGCACCCUCCGGGAAACCAAAGUGUUUGCUUUCUGGGGGGAGUAUGGUCGCAAGGCUGAAACUUAAAGGAAUUGAC